GACGAACGCUGGCGGCGUGCCUAAUACAUGCAAGUCGAGCGGAUGGAUGGGAGCUUGCUCCCUGAAGUCAGCGGCGGACGGGUGAGUAACACGUGGGCAACCUGCCCCUAAGAUCGGGAUAACUUCGGGAAACCGGAGCUAAUACCGGAUAUGAUUAUGUCUCACAUGAGACAUAAUGGAAAGACGGUUUCGGCUGUCACUUAGGGAUGGGCCCGCGGCGCAUUAGCUAGUUGGUGAGGUAACGGCUCACCAAGGCGACGAUGCGUAGCCGACCUGAGAGGGUGAUCGGCCACACUGGGACUGAGACACGGCCCAGACGCCUACGGGUGGCAGCAGUCGAGAAUUUUUGACAAUGGGGGAAACCCUGAUCGAGCGACGCCGCGUGGAGGAUGAAGGUCUUCGGAUUGUAAACUCCUGUCAUUGGGGAACAAGGUGCAUACGUUAACUGCGUGUGCAUUGAUAGUACCCGAAGAGGAAGAGACGGCUAACUCUGUGCCAGCCGCCGCGGUAA
rnacentral:rRNA from 1 species